AGAGAAUACACAAUGAAAACACCUAUAGUUACAGAUGUGUUGCUGGGCACUCAGCUCCAGGCAGACUUGAGGACAACCACCAUGCCCAAGAUUUGCCCAUGAAAUUUUGGCCCCUGGUCUCCUGAACAAGGUGGAAGGUAGAUGGUUGAGCUGCAUUAUUGCCUAGGGAACAUGGAAUCCAAAUCCUCUACCCAUCAACCUUCAACUCCAGACUUCAGAGUAGGAGUAGGAUUGGAGGCUGGUGUUUGAGAUGGAAGAGAACUGAAGAGAAUUGAACUUUUUGCAAAAAGUAUUUAUGAGAACGGCUUUAUUUUAUUAUUUUAUUAUUUUUUGUUUUUGUUUUUGUUUUUGUUUUUUGAGAAUGGCUUUAAAUAACUUUGACUGAAAGGAGCUGCCAGCUACCUUCUCUAGCUGGGAGUCACAGUAUGGUCAAUAGUGAGCUGCCCAUCACUGGGAGUGCUUCAGCAAUGAAGAUGUGACUAUCUACAGAGCUCCUGAAAUGGGAUGGGUGUAGGAUCAGACCAUCCAACUGCUCGUUCGUUCACCACGCACGCCAUCAAUGUGCACUGAGGGCCUGUGUUGGGCCCAAUGUGACCUAAAGAUGGGAGAAAAAGCCCUCAGGCCUCGAAGAAGAGACAGACAAGUUCCCUCCAUGAGCAAAUGAUACACUAUACCUUCAUUAAGGAAGUGUUGCAGACAGAGGAAGGGACCCGAAUGCAAGGAAUCCUUGGAACAUUCGAAAGCUUUUGUUGUCUUCUCUGUUUUUCUCCCAUUCUUUAUCUUGUACCUCCAAGGAACAACAAAUCAUAGCAUGAAAUUUCAUUGAGUUCAACCUGUUUUGGGAAUGGACCUAAAUAAAUAAGCAAGCAAGCAAGCAAAUAAAUGUUAUUUAUGUCAAAGGAUAAAAAGUUUUCUCACAUGUUUCUAAGUAAUUGGAUCUCACCAGACUGCUUAGUUUUGUGCUUUGCCCUAUUCUCAC